rnacentral:rRNA from 1 species
AGUGAACGCUGGCGGUAGGCCUAACACAUGCAAGUCGAACGGCAGCACAGUAAGAGCUUGCUCUUACGGGUGGCGAGUGGCGGACGGGUGAGGAAUACAUCGGAAUCUACUUUUUCGUGGGGGAUAACGUAGGGAAACUUACGCUAAUACCGCAUACAACCUACGGUUGAAAGCAGGGGAUCUUCGCACCUUGCGCGAUUGAAUUAGCCGAUGUCGGAUUAGCUAGUUGGCGGGGUAAAGGCCCACCAAGGCGACGAUCCGUAGCUGGUCUGAGAGGAUGAUCAGCCACACUGGAACUGAGACACGGUCCAGACUACUACGGGAGGCAGCAGUGGGGAAUAUUGGACAAUGGGCGCAAGCCUGAUCCAGCCAUACCGCGUGGGUGAAGAAGGCCUUCGGGUUGUAAAGCCCUUUUGUUGGGAAAGAAAAGCAGCAGGUUAAUACCCAGCUGUUCUGACGGUACCCAAAGAAUAAGCACCGGCUAACUUCGUG